AACGAACGCUGGCGGCAUGCCUAACACAUGCAAGUCGAACGAGACCUUCGGGUCUAGUGGCGCACGGGUGCGUAACGCGUGGGAACCUGCCCUUAGGUUCGGAAUAACUCCCCGAAAGGGGUGCUAAUACCGGAUAAUGUCUUCGGACCAACGAUUUUUCGCCUUUGGAUGGGCCCGCGUUGGAUUAGCUAGUUGGUAGGGUAAAAGCCUACCAAGGCGACGAUCCAUAGCUGGUCUGAGAGGAUGAUCAGCCACACUGGGACUGAGACACGGCCCAGACUCCUACGGGAGGCAGCAGUGGGGAAUAUUGGACAAUGGGCGAAAGCCUGAUACAGCAAUGCCGGGUGAGUGAUGAAGGCCGUAGGGUUGUAAAGCUCUUUUACCCGGGAUGAUAAUGACAGUACCGGGAGAAUAAGCACCGGCUAACUCCGUG
rnacentral:rRNA from 1 species